UACGUAGGGGGCAAGCGUUGUCCGGAUUUAUUGGGCGUAAAGAGCGUGUAGGCGGCCAGGUAGGUCCGUUGUGAAAACUCGAGGCUCAACCUCGAGACGUCGGCGGAAACCCUCUGGCUAGAGUCCGGAAGAGGAGAGUGGAAUUCCUGGUGUAGCGGUGAAAUGCGCAGAUAUCAGGAAGAACACCCGUGGCGAAGGCGGCUCCCUGGGACGGUACUGACGCUGAGACGCGAAAGCGUGGGGAGCAAACAGG
rnacentral:rRNA from 1 species